rnacentral:rRNA from 1 species
GAAGGCUUAACACAUGCAAGUCGAGCGCACUCUUCGGAGUGAGCGGCAGACGGGUGAGUAACGCGUGGGAACGUGCCCUUUGGUUCGGAAUAGCCCUUGGAAACGAGGAGUAAUGCCGAAUGUGCCCUUCGGGGGAAAGAUUUAUCGCCAAAGGAUCGGCCCGCGUUAGAUUAGCUAGUUGGUGAGGUAACGGCUCACCAAGGCGACGAUCUAUAGCUGGUCUGAGAGGAUGAUCAGCCACACUGGGACUGAGACACGGCCCAGACUCCUACGGGAGGCAGCAGUGGGGAAUCUUGGACAAUGGGCGCAAGCCUGAUCCAGCCAUUCCGCGUGGAUGAUGAAGGCCCUAGGGUUGUAAGAUCCUUUCGGCAGGGAAGAUAAUGACGGUACCUGCUAAAGAAGCCCCGGCUAACUCCGUGCCAGCAGC